UACGGAGGGUGCAAGCGUUAUCCGGAAUCACUGGGUUUAAAGGGUGCGUAGGCGGCUUAGUAAGUCAGUGGUGAAAGGCUGUGGCUUAACCAUGGAAUUGCCAUUGAUACUGCUGAGCUUGAAUAAGGUUGAGGUUGGCGGAAUGUGACAUGUAGCGGUGAAAUGCUUAGAUAUGUCAUGGAACACCGAUUGCGAAGGCAGCUGACUGGACCUGCAUUGACGCUGAGGCACGAAAGCGUGGGGAGCAAAC
rnacentral:rRNA from 1 species